UGGGACGAGGCAAAACUUGCAGCAGGUAGACCAUGGGGGUAGCAGCGCCAUGGGAUGUUGUUUAUGAUACGAUGCUCCUCUCAGACGUUUCGUCGAACAGUCAAUGGGCGUUCUGGAGAACAGCGAGGAAGAUGGAAGUGAGGGUGAGGCAGCACAACAAGGAGGUCGAGCGUCUCUAGGAGGGGCACAUUGGACGUGUUGACCACGACGAGCUGGGGCUUGCGUCCAUGCAACAGGAGCAGGUGGAGGUGCAUCCAUGGCAUGGGGAAAAGAGCGCCCACGCUCAGCCAUGGGAGAAGGCGUGGUGUCGGCAUGGGCACUAGGCACCGAGGAGGAUUUCGUGUGCUAGCUGCUAGAAUAGAGAUAGGGGAGGGUGACUGAGUACCCACCAGGGAAGGGACGACCAAGGAACCAGCAGGGAGAGGGCGCUGGCUCAAGCCAUGGAGAAGGGGUUCGGCUGCCCUCCAUGGCUGCCUGGAUCUCAGGCGCGGCAGGGGUUCGCUCCAGGCGCUGAACAUGGGAGGAGUGGAAGGGGGCGUCGGUCUGGGGAGGAUGGCGGCCAGGUGGGGCUGCUCGAUGGAAUCCACGGCAAGGCGGGGGUGGCCGGACUUGAGAAGGGCAGGAAGCCAGAUGGGAGAGGGAGCGUACGUGCAGAAAGCAAACAAGGAGCCCAAGCCAAGGGGACGAGCUCACCUGCUCGAGCUCGGACCCUGAGAAAUGCCCUGCGCGCUGUAUUAGAGAUGGAGAUCUUGGGUUUGGUUCCAUGGCGUCGGUCGACAUUGGAGGAAGGAAGGAGGAACAGAGGUGCUUCUCUGCUCUGCGCACCGUGGCGGCCAUGGGCCAGAGAAGGGCGCCCCGGCAUCCAUCGCUGGAGCAGAGGCACGUAGGAGUCUCAUCCAUGGCUGAAGCGAAGAGCAUCCUAAGCGGUGGUAGAGGAAGGGGAAGACGCCAGGAGGGAGAGCGAUGGUGUGGGAGUGUCGGCAUGGAAAUGGCGUGGUGUGGAAGACGACAGGGGAUCUCGAGAACUAUAGAGGGCGCAGCCUGCCAGGCG
rnacentral:lncRNA from 1 species